CCUACGGGUGACAGCAGUGAGGAAUAUUGGUCAAUGGGCUUACGCCUGAACCAGCCAAGUCGCGUGAGGGAAGACUGCCCUCUGGGUUGUAAACCUCUUUUGUCAGGGAGCAACGCCGGCUACGUGUAGCCGGCCUGAGAGUACGUGCAGAAAAAGCAUCGGCUAACUCCGUGCAAGCAGCCGCGGUAAUACGGAGGAUGCGAGCUGUAUCCGGAUUUAUUGGGUUUAAAGGGUGCGUAGGCGGAAUGCCAAGUCAGCGGUAAAAUCGCGGGGCUCAACCUCGCUCCGACGUUGAAACUGGCGUUCUUGAGUGGACGAGAAGUAUGCGGAAUGCGUGGUGUAGCGGUGAAAUGCAUAGAUAUCACGCAGAACUCCGAUUGCGAAGGCAGCAUACCGGCGCCCAACUGACGCUGAAGCACGAAAGCGUGGGUAUCGAACAGGAUUAGAUACCCGGGUAGUC
rnacentral:rRNA from 1 species